GCGUGGACGCCGCACGCUCGGCCCCGCUUCCUCCCGGGCCCGCUCCGCAGGCAGCUGCGACUCCAGCAGCCCCAGCUUUCUCCCACUGCCCUCCCCCGGACACCCAGAUGCUCCUCUCGCCCCUGCCAUCCCAAGUGGCGGAGGCGGACAUUUCCCUGAAACCCUGCGUCCGCUGGGGACGCGAUCCCUGGAGAAGGAGAGCAUCCUCUCCAAGGCGCAAAGCCACACUCUCUCUGGGAGUGGUCUAUCCGCUCCCCGGGCCGGGAGUCCGUCGGGGGAGAGCCACCUGGUCAUCCCGUUUGUCCUCCUCUUCUCCCUCCCCUCCCGCCUAGCGAGGGCCGCAACAGGUGCAGAAGGCGCGGCCGCACAAUAACCCGGCGGAGCUAAGGGGCUGUGAGCUGCGGCCGGCGCUGGAGGAUCGUAUAGUACCUGCUCGGAAUCCUCGCUCCCCCACUAGCUUCAAAACUCCAGGCGAGCCAGCCAGCUUCUCCGAGGCGGUUCUCUCGUCCGCAAUACAUGGGUAAUAAUGUAUCCGCGGCUUAGGGAUGUUGGGAAAACUAAGAGUUCACGUAGCAAAGCACUUAGCGAUGCGCGGAGCUCGUGGCAGGCGCUCUCCUACGGUGGGGUGGAGGGCUACAGGAACACCAGACGACCUCCUCAAAGGGACCAGUGAGCCGAGAUUUAGAGUCUAAGACGCGUGGCCAGCGUCCAGUGUCUGCCGAUGAGCACUAACUCCUUGGCGAGUGAAAUCAAGCACCUCCUUUCUCUCUGUUCUCCAUCAUUUCCUCCCGGCUCUCCUUCCCUUUAUUGAUCCGGGUCCUGGGGCAGAAAGCAGCGAGCGGAGGGAUAACUUGGCCCGGAGUCUGCGUCUGGCGCUGGGGAGCGGGGACUGAGCCCGGAACACCGACUGGGCGGCUGCGCCAACAACCACUGCGGACGCAGGGCGGGUGCGAGAGGCUGAGAGGCUGCGCCCCGCCAUCCAGCCUCGCUCCAGCCGGGAGGAUCCGGCUCUUCAAGACGAUACCCUUAACCCUGCAGUCGCCCGGAACAGGUCCUGCCCCUGCCUGGGGAGGGAAAACCCCCGCAGCGGCCCCGCGCCCCUUCCUCCCUAGCGUGGAGGCUCCAACUGGAGAGACCUGUGUGAGGAAACCGAUCUGGAGCCAGCAGAUCCUGUUCCGACCUCGCCUCAUUACUUUUGUUACUCCAGCUGCCAGCAGAGCACGCUUUGUCCCUCCCGUGUGCUAUCAUUCAUUAACAAGACGCAGACGGGCUUUAGUUUUUGAGUAUAGAAGUCAAUGGUCUGUAUGCAAUGGUAAAUGUCGCCCCCAGAUAUGUUGUUCCCACUCUCUCUCUCUCUUCAUGAGGAAACUAUACAGACAUAGGUCUAAUGUUAUCUCCAUUUUACAGAUGGGAAAACUGAGUCAUGGGGACAGGCUGCAGAUUUGAAGAAAGUCUCAAGACAACCAAGUCUCUCUUCUCUGCUCUAGGUUCAAUUUGGCCAAUUGACCUUUAAAUGUGAGCCCUUGGCAACCUGGUCUAGUGGCUGAGGCAGGGGGCUAGAGUACAGUGGCGUGAUCUCAGCUCACUGCAGCCUCCACCUCCAGGGUUCAAGCGAUUCUCCUGCCUCAGCUCCCAAGUAGCUGGGAUUACAGAGACAGGGUCUCGCUAUGUUGCCCAGGCUGGUCUCAAACUCCUGGGCAAACGAUCCUCCUGACUGGGCCUCCCAAAGCGCUGAGAUUACAGGUGUAAGCCAUGGCACCCAGCCUCUAAUUCCAAGAUCGGUGCUUUUCCCAUGGCCUCUCUGCAUUCGAAGACAGAAGAGAUGAUGAAGGACUGAGAGGACCAGACUUAGUGGAAGACCUGAAAUAAAGACAUACCAUUGCCUGAAAAAACGAAUACAAACAUGACCCCUUCAAAUGCUCACUGAACACCUACCACAUUCCUGGCAUUGUGCUAGGUGCUGUAGAAAACUCAGAAAGAAAUGACAAAUAUAAAUGCACACACAGUUUACUCAACUCUGAAUUCCAAGUGCAGAGAAGAGAAAAAGUAUUAAGUGAAGGAAAUUGAUAGGACAGACCAUUAGAUGAAGAGACAGAGUCUCACUAUGUUGUCCAGGCUCGCCUUGAACUCCUGGCCUCAAGCCAUCCUCCUGCCUCAGCCUCCCCAGUAUCUGAGACUACAAGCAUGAGCCACCGUAACCAGCUCUUGCUUAAGUUUAUAUUAGCAGCAAGACUUCCUCUAAGUGUAGUCAACUAGAGCAGCAUUUCCCAAUGUGUGGCCCUAGGACGUUGUUAGGUAUUACAUGGAAUAAAAAUGGGAACACUGAGUUAAACAAGCAAGAACGGGCUUAUUCACUGCAGAACUUCUCAGGACUUUUAAUAUGUUUCAUGCCAUCAGUGGCUCAGCUUCAAGGUCAAGAUCCUUAACAUGCCUACACCACCUUCCAUGGACUGGCCCAGGUGAGUGGCAGAACCUCACACCCUCGUCCCGCUGCCUUCCUGCCACACUGGCCCUGCCACCAGUUUCUCUAGAUCCAUGUCAUUGAGUGCAGCAUCCACGGGCCUCCUGUGGCUACUGAGCACUUGAGAUGUGGCUAGUCUACAUUGAGAUGUGCUGUAAGCAGAAAAUACCCACCAGAUUUUGAAGACUUAAGACAAAAAAAAGUAAAUUCUUAACAUUAAUAAUUUUUAUGUUGAAUGCAUAUUGGAAUAAUACUUUGGACAGACUGAGUUAGGUAAAAUAUAUUAUUAAAAUUGUUUUCACCUUUUUCUCUACUUUUUA